AUUGAACGCUGGCGGCAGGCCUAACACAUGCAAGUCGAGCGGAUGAAGGGAGCUUGCUCCUGGAUUCAGCGGCGGACGGGUGAGUAAUGCCUAGGAAUCUGCCUGGUAGUGGGGGAUAACGUCCGGAAACGGGCGCUAAUACCGCAUACGUCCUGAGGGAGAAAGUGGGGGAUCUUCGGACCUCACGCUAUCAGAUGAGCCUAGGUCGGAUUAGCUAGUUGGUGGGGUAAAGGCCUACCAAGGCGACGAUCCGUAACUGGUCUGAGAGGAUGAUCAGUCACACGGGAACUGAGACACGGCCCAGCCUCCUACGGGAGGCAGCAGUGGGGAAUUUUGGCCAUUGGGCGAAAGCCUGCUCCAGCCAUGCCGCGUGUGUGAAGAAGGUUUUCGGAUUUUAAAGCACUUUAAGUUGGGAGGAAGGGCAGUAAGUUAAUACCUUGCUGUUUUGACGUUACCAACAGAAUAAGCACCGGCUAACUUCGUG
rnacentral:rRNA from 1 species